rnacentral:tRNA from 1 species
ACCGAAAUAGCUCAGUUGGGAGAGCGUUAGACUGGAGAUCGAAAAGUCUCUGGUCGAACCCGGGCUCCGACA